CAGUCGAGUAUCCUUAGGAACC
rnacentral:miRNA from 1 species